UACGUAGGGGGCUAGCGUUGUUCGGAUUUACUGGGCGUAAAGGGCGCGUAGGCGGACAGUUAAGUCGGGGGUGAAAGCCCGGGGCUCAACCUCGGAAUUGCCUUCGAUACUGGCUGUCUUGAGUACGGGAGAGGUGUGUGGAACUCCGAGUGUAGAGGUGAAAUUCGUAGAUAUGCGGAAGAACACCAGUGGCGAAGGCGGCACACUGGCCCGUUACUGACGCUGAGGCACGAAAGCGUGGGGAGCAAACAGG
rnacentral:rRNA from 1 species